rnacentral:rRNA from 1 species
GGGAAAACUUACCGGGUCCGGACAUACUGAGGAAUGACAGGUUCUGUGUUGAUACACUGGUUAGUGUAUAAGAGAGGUGGCAACAUUUGGAUAUUCGCUGCUGGUUUACCAGCUCACUGAUAAAUUUGCUAGUCCUUUCAUGAUUGUGUGAUAGGUGGUGCAUGGCCGUUCUUAGUUCGUGGAGUGAUUUGUCUGCUUAAUUGCGUUUCACAAGAGAUAUAAGGGCUUGUUAGCUUUGAUCUUUGUUGCUUUCGGGUAGCUUAGUGAUUAGUUGACUUGUUCAGUCUCGAAGGCAACGA